rnacentral:lncRNA from 1 species
UUUUUCUAUUAAAAUUUGUUCAUGGAAGCUCAAUUUCCAUAUGUCAAAUGGCACUAUAUAUUGAAGAGAUUUUAAAGAAAUCUUUUUUACCAAUCUUAUUUACCAAAUUUACCAAGUAUAAUUUAGCAUUACUUUUCCAUUGGAUAAAUUACAUUUUGAUAAAAUUAAUGAGCUUGAAUUAAUAAAUUUCCAAAAGUCACAAUUUAAAAUAUUUUUAAUACCAAAACUUUAUACAUAAUAUUUCAUGUGUCACAAAAUCAUAGGCCUAUAGCAAAUAUAAUAUGCCUUGAGUGAACAAUAAAAACUUCAUAUACUUUCAUUGUAGAUCUGGACUGUAGGUGAAACCCAAUAUAUAAGCUGUAUAGUUCUCUAAUCAAAGAAAAUAUGUGUCAUUAUGGUUUUAGGAAAAAAUAUAUAUCUAAGUUGAUACUAUUCUUCAUAGUAAAGCCUCAAGUUCAAAUCUAUUGCUAGGAGCCAGUGCACUGGCUCACACUUUUGAAUUUCUACCUAAUUUGAAAAAUACAAUUGAGGUAUUUGGAGUAUUAUAGUACUUGCUAUUAAAAGCCACUACAAUUGUAUAUAUUUGACUGUGAUAUGUUGUUUUGAAAAUGGAAAAAACAUUGACAUAUAAGCCUAUAUUUUACUUGCCAAAAAAGCUGAUUAAAUGUUGGCACCUGACAGUAUUUCUAGAGAGUGUUAUUUCUUCCAUAGAUUCAGACCCCAAAAAGUUAUAUAACAAUUUGAAAGAUUAAUAUGAUAUGCCCUGAAAACUUGUAAUAAACUGGCAACUGUUCUUUUGGGAUGUGAUUCCCAUUUAAUAGAGGCAUACUCUCAAAAAACAUUUUCUGAAAUAACUCAUAAGGUCCAAUGGAUAGUGACAACAUUUUGUAUCAAGUAGUCCGUUAGUCCUAAAUCCAUUCAUUCAUUCGACUAACUUUUUUUCAUUGCCUUUGUGCCUUCCCAGGUUUCAAGGUCAUUUAUCCAUUCAACAAAUAUUGCAGCAUGGCUAUUUAGCAAUGUUCCAGAUGCUAAACAUGUAAUUACAAAUUUUUAAAGAGUGAUUACAUACUAUGAUGAAAAAUAAUGGAAUGAGGAGGAGAAAGUUCCUACAUAGCAAAGGUAGUCAGGAAGGCCAAGAGGAAAGGUCUCCAGAGGCAAUGUGUGGAAUGGGAAUUAGAAAAUGAGAAUGACCUAGCCAUGGGAAGAAGAGCAUUUGGUUUCUCCACUAGCAUGUGAAGAACUCAAGGCAGAAAGAUACUCAGCAUACUGGAAACAGUAAGUGGAGCCCAGCACUGCAAUAGUAUAGCCAGAGAUCAAGGGAGGAAGGAUCUGGGGCCAGCUGGGAUGGAAGAGCAAGAAACCCACUGCUCAAGGACUUACAGGCCAUGGUGAAGAGUUUUUAUCUUAUUUCCAGGGCAGUAGAAAGGAUAGGAUAGGAUAGGAUAGGAUAGAUAGGAUAGAUAUAGAUAGAUAGGAUAGGAUAGAUAGGAUCUCUCAGGAAUGAAACACUCUGUGAAAUUUUUUUAACCUCCAAAAAUUCUGGGAACUUUGGUUAUAACCCAAUGUAUGAAGCAGCAGUUGUUAACAAUAUCAAAUACAAUCCUAUAUCAUUAUUUGGGGAAUAAUUCAGGUCUCCUGAAUUUUCUCAACUGAAAAUUGCAUACUUUGGAUAUGAGUUUAUGGCUUUUGUUCCCUGGAACUACUGGAACAAUUAUCUUCCUGAAAACAAAUGCUAACUUGGUUUGCUUCAGCUAACAGGUGAGGGACUUGCUUUUGGAAGCAAAGAUAGGUAACGUUCCCUAUAAGAACAGUUUUAUCCUAUGAGUUUGACUAUUCACAUAGUAAAACAAAUUCAUCAAUGAGAUUGUUUCAUUUAAUUGUAUCAGCUGUUUAAAUAUCCAACUGAAUAGUUUAAGGGCAUCACAAUGCAUUAAAAGGAUUGAAUAAGGUAUUUUGAGUCUAUUAAAAACUGUUGAAUAGUAUACGUUUAUAGAUUACUUCUUUAUAUUAGAAAUACAAACAUUAUUUUUAGUGAAGAGUAAGAAUAUUCAAAUAAAAUAUCAUUUAAGUUUUAAGAUUUUUUUAAGUUAACUGAUUAGCUCUCCUUUGGGAAGAUAAAAAUAUGUUCUUUAAAACCAAAAGGGGGGAGCUCUGUUGUGGCUCAAGGGAAACAAAUCUGACUAGUAUCCAUGAGGGUACAGGUUCAAUCCCUGACCUCGCUUGGUGGGCAAAGGAUCUGGUGUUGCCAUGAGCUGCAGUGUAGUUCAGCAGACACGGCUUGAAUCCUGUGUUGCUGUGUCUGUGGCAUAGGCCAGAGGGUACUGCUCCAAUUAGACCCCUAGCCUGGGAACCUCCAUGUGCUGUGAGUGCAGCCCCCCCAAAAAAAGGAGCUCUAAAGAUUGGAUAAGCUGUUGGAAUCAAUAUUAGUAAGCUAAAACCAAAACCACAACUUUGAAAUUAAUAAAACACUACUAUUAAGCUAAAUUACAAGGUGUUUCUGCUGACUGAGAUAUUUAAUCACAAGUUUUAUUGUACUUUUUUAGCUCCUUAAAGACAAAUCAUUACAGCACUGUGAAUUCUAGAUAUUAAAACACAUGAUUAAUAGCAACAUGCUUUAAAAUUACCAUGGAAGUGCUGUAGUUGACAUUUUUAAUUGGGGCUUCCCUUAGUGAAUUUAUCACCAAACAAAUAUCUUUCGUCUCUUAAAAGAAUAAUAUCUAGAUUCACCCCUUCCUGGAGAUUUAUAUUUAACCAUGUGAAAGAUGAAAAUAAGGCUACGAGGAAUGCUUAAUACAUGUGCAUGUAGGAUUUUUCACUUAAUGUCAAGAGUGCACUUUUAUAAAUGCAUUCAAUAUUUUGGUUUCCAUUAAAAGUGUUUUGAUAUGAGUGAUCUAGACUUCUUUUUAUAUACUGAAAUGCCUUUUAAAUGUCCAAUCUGAUAAAGCAAAUUAAAAGUGAGAGAGUUAAAACUGUCACUUUAUAUAAGACCUCAUCAAUUUUAUGUAAAUAUCAACACACUACAUUAAAAGUUCUUUACUAAGGUAACUGCCUAUGAGACAGCAGAUCACUAAGUAAGUUUUGAGACAGACCUCCUUGUAAGAAUAUCAAAAUAGGUGACCCUGAACACACCGAAACUAUAAAUAAGGCUUGGAACGAGGAGUUGUGAGAGGGUUUUCUGAAGAAGAUUUCUCUGAGGAAUGCAAAUCUUCCCCUCCAGUCAAUUUUAGUGAAGCAGUUUCUGUAGGCACACCUUGACUUUGACUCCUGACUGGACAGUGACCAAUGACACACGCGGAUGAGCUAUCUGCUUUAGCAUCAGAUUUAAGGAGCGCUCCCCACAAGGUUGAUAUUUGCUUGAAUGUCCAGAGUUCGUUACUACAAAGAAUGUAUGAGUAUGAACCAUGGGACUAUAUAACUCCAGCAUGAAGAGGAGCUGUCUAAAGGAGCCCUUGGGAGGGUUAUGGAGGGCAUGAGAGUGUGUGGAAUAGAUGCCCCCAACAUGCAAGCUGACAGUAGUGCAGCUAAAAAAAAAACCUAUUCCCCAAUGCACAGGAAGUGUAUUUGACUGUUCUCAGUGGGGACCUCUAAUGUGCAUCCAAAAGCACCCUAAGAGAUUAAACUGACUACCUACCCUAAGAUAGUGGGAAGCCAGCUGAAGAAAAUAGUCAAAGGAGAACUUCCUUAUAUCCUAACUUCUGCCUAUUGCAACUUUGAUAUUGUGUUUUAGAAACUGCCCUUAGAAAGAUGCUGGAGGAGCAAUGCAAGGCCUAGAUGGAGAAGGACAGACGGUUUUCCCUUUUUCUCCCUUGGCCAUGGAAUAUUAGCUGUAGCAGAAAUGAGUUUAGAUGGAUAGGCAGCAGUCAGUUAUGCAAUGCCUCUAGGACAUUUAAGAACAUAAACUUUGUGUUUUAGUGCAUCUAUAGGUUCACAACAAAACUGAGUGGAGGGUACCAAGAUUUCCCAGUACUCCCUUCCCCUACAGUCAUAGCCUCCCUCAUUAUCAAUAUCUCUCAUCAGAAUGGAACAUUUCCUACAAAUGAUGGGCUUACACCGACACAUUAUUAUCACCCAAGUGCAUUAGGAUUCAUUCUUUGCAUUGAGCAAUCUCUGGGUUUCGGCAAAUGUAUAAUAACAUCUAUCAACCAUUAUUGUUUCAUACCAUAUAUUAUAUGAUACAUAUAUGGUGCAUGUAUGAUACUAUGAUAGUGAAUACAUGUCUUCACACAUACCAUAGUAUUAAAAUAUAGAAUAGCUCCACCACUCUAAAAUUCUCUGUGCUCUGCCUAGUCAUCACUAGCCCCUGGCAACUACUGAUCUUUUUAUUGUUUCCAUAGUUUAAUCUUCUCCAGAAUGCCAUAAAGUUGAAAUCAUAUAGUAUGUAACCCUUUUUCAGAUUGGCUUCUUUUACUUAAUAAUAUACAUUCAAGUCUUUUCAUGACUUGAUAGCUCACUUAGUUUUAGCAUUGAGUAAUAUUCCAUUACUGACAUGACGGAAUUUAUGAUUUAAAAAAUAUAAUCCCAGCUUAUUUAUGGGGAAAAGGUUAGAGAGGGAUAAGAAUAAAUUUCAAGAAAACAGUUGGGAUGCUAGUGCAAUUGCUCUGGUAUGAGAGGAGAAAGCCACAUUCUGGGGUGGCAGCAAUGGAGAUGAACUGAAUAAGAUGAUUUAAGACUAUGUCUAUGAGGUAAAAGUAGUAGUACUUGUCGAUGAAUCAGACUUGGGAAAUUAUAGAAAGAGGGGUCAAGAAUGACUUCUGGAUCUUUGGCUUGAGCAAUUGGAUGGAUGAGGGUAUUUAACAAGGGUGGGUGGUGAAACAAGGCUGGAGGUCCCACUGGAAUAGCUUGAUUCCAAGCCAAAAAUUCAGCCCCUCAGAAAAUUCUAUUAGAGGGAUAUAAAAAUCCUCACCAAGCAUAAAUCUCAUUUCCUUUUCCUUGCAGAUUGUUGGCCACUCCUCCUAGGCUCCAGGGAUAUGAAUAAUGCCCUUAAUAAUGUCAGAUAAUUUCCAUCGGUCCUUAAUUGCCCACUGAUCUGUUUCCCUGUCUUAACCAUCUUCUUGAUGGUGUUCCCAGCCACUACUAAACUUAACAUUUUACAGCCAGCAAUACUAUCAUUUUCCCUUUUUUCAAACUUUUCAUUUUUUGUUUUUUGCAAACUUCUAUUAUUUGCAAACACUUAUAUCAGGUAAAAUGGUCAAAGUUGUUUGUUGGAACCCUAAAUAAAUAGCAUAAAAGAUGCCAUAAUAGACUGCUAGCAUCAUUUACAGUAGGUUGUAUUCAUAGCUAUGUAUUCAUAGCUUUGGCUAACAUUGUAUGUAGCCCAUCACAUUAGUACCCAUGGAUUAAAAGCUUAAAAGAGCAUUCAGAACAUAUAAAUAAUAAGCUAUAAUACUCUUUCUAUAUACAUUUUAAUUUUUUAUAAAAAUUAUUGAGAGACUAAUAGUAUUAAAAUCAGUCAGCGAUCAAUGUUAGUUUCUUGGUUUUGAUAAUAGGACUAUGGUUACAGAAGGUUAAUAUUGGGGGAAGCAGAGUCAAGAAUAUAUGGAAACUUGGAUAAGCAAUGAGAUCCUGUAGCACUGGGAACUAUAUCUAGUCACUUGUGAUGGAACAUGAUGGAGGAUAAUAUCAGAAAAAGAAUGUAUAUAUGUGUGUGUGUGUAUGUGUCUGUGUGUAUGUGUGUGUGAAUGAGUCACUUUGCUGUACAGUAGAAAAUUGACAGAGCACUGUAAACCAACUAUAAUGGAAAAAAUAAAAAUCAUUAAAGUCACAUAAAAAAGAAUAUAUGGAAACUCUAUGUACUAUUUUGUAACAUUUCUGUAGGUCUAAUAUUAUCUCAAAAUAAAAAGUUAAAAAGUAUAUCAUAAUUUCCAGGGCAAGGUUAAAAGGAAAAUAUAUAUACAAGAUAUCUGAAAAAGACAGGUAUUCAAAUAUCAACAUUAUAGGGUUUUAACUCAGUAUUAUGUCUUUACUUAUUCUUGAUUUAAUGCAUGAGUUCACUUACAGCCAGAAAUCAAAUCUAAUUAAAUUAUCUUAAAAUAGAAUGGGAAUAUGUAAUAAAUAUAUGACCACAUAAAAUGUCUUGAAGCUUAAUAAAUAAACUGGAAUUAAAAUUAACUUAAAAAUUUGCAAAGGAGCUACAAAUCCACUGUAAAUAUAAAGAAAAACUUGCUUUACAUUAUAGAUAUUUUGCCCUUGUUCUUAGGAAAAAAAAAUUAUAAAAAUUAUAAAUUCCCUGAAUUCAAAGAAGGUAUCUUUUAGAUUUACCCAAUAUAUUCAACACAAAAUCAUUUUUCUGUUUACUCAGGUACAAAGUUUCAGAGUCCUCCUUAACUCUUUCUUCUCCAUUUUUUUCUUUCAUCUGAACAGUUCCUGUGUCAUGCCAAGCCUUCAUCUUCAUUAUCUUCGCUUUUAUCUCAUGUUCCUCUAAGAUCCCACACAAGAAUAUUCUUCUAAAUACCAUACUUAUUUUUCCUGACUCAAAUGAUCCAUUUUUACAUAUAUGAGACCGAUCAUUUAUUAAAAAUUAUAGAUCUGGUCAUGUUCAAAAGCUUUCAAAUAGGAGUUCCUGUCGUGGCGCAGUGGAAAGGAAUCCAACUAGGAAUCAUGAGGUUGCGGGUUCUAUCCCUGGCUUUGCUCAGGGGAUGAAGGAUCUGGUGUUGCUGGGACCUGUAGUGUAGGUUCCAGACACAGCUUGGAUCCAGUGUUGGAGUAGGCCAGUGGCUACUGCUCCAUUUCAACCCCUGGCCUGGGAACCUCCAUAUGCCGCAGGAGCGGCCCUAGACAAAAGACAAAAAAAAAAAAAAAGAAAUAUGACUUAAUUAUAAUUGGUUCUCCGUUAUAGAAACCAUAUGUCUCAUUUAUUCUGCAUACUGUUCAAAUUUCCAAAUGAAGGAAAGCACAACCUAUACACCUAUCUUCAGUCCACCUUUUUUAGAAUACUAUUCUGUCACUGUAUUUACCAUCUAAUAUUUAUUGGCCCCUGCAUAUGGUUGUUUGGGCAGUACUCUCUAAAAGGGACACUGGCCAGGAAGGUGAGUAAGGCUGAAAUCAAUCUUGUACUCUGCUCACCAAACUAUG